rnacentral:rRNA from 1 species
GACGAACCGUGCGAACGUUGUUCGGAUUCACUGGGCUUAAAGGGCGCGUAGGCGGGUGAUCAAGUCCGGGGUGAAAUCCUUCAGCUCAACUGGAGAAUAGCCUUGGAUACUGGUCGCCUCGAGGGAGGUAGGGGCGGGCGGAACUUCCGGUGGAGCGGUGAAAUGCGUAGAUAUCAUUUGGAACGCCAAUGGUGAAAACAGGUAGCUGGGGAUGUGCUGACGCUGAGACACGAAAGCCAGGGGAGCAAACGGG